GACGAACGCUGGCGGCGUGCUUAACACAUGCAAGUCGAACGGAAAGGCCCUGCUUUUGUGGGGUGCUCGAGUGGCGAACGGGUGAGUAACACGUAAGUAACCUGCCCUUGACUUUGGGAUAACUUCAGGAAACUGGGGCUAAUACCGGAUAGGAGCUCCUGCUGCAUGGUGGGGGUUGGAAAGUUUCGGCGGUUGGGGAUGGACUCGCGGCUUAUCAGCUUGUUGGUGGGGUAGUGGCUUACCAAGGCUUUGACGGGUAGCCGGCCUGAGAGGGUGACCGGCCACAUUGGGACUGAGAUACGGCCCAGACUCCUACGGGAGGCAGCAGUGGGGAAUAUUGCACAAUGGGCGGAAGCCUGAUGCAGCAACGCCGCGUGCGGGAUGACGGCCUUCGGGUUGUAAACCGCUUUCGCCUGUGACGAAGCGUGAGUGACGGUAAUGGGUAAAGAAGCACCAGCUAACUACGUG
rnacentral:rRNA from 1 species